rnacentral:rRNA from 1 species
GCAAUCUACCUUAUACUAAGGGAUAGCCCAGAGAAAUUUGGAUUAAUACCUUAUAGGAUAUCAGAAUGGCAUCAUUUAGAUAUUAAAGAUUUAUUGGUAUAAGAUGAGCAUGCGUCCCAUUAGUUAGUUGGUAAGGUAACGGCUUACCAAGACGAUGAUGGGUAGGGGUCCUGAGAGGGAGAUC